rnacentral:rRNA from 1 species
AGUAACGCGUGGGUAACCUGCCUCAUACAGGGGAGUAACAGUUAGAAAUGACUGCUAAUACCGCAUAAGCGCACAGUGCUGCAUGGCACAGUGUGAAAAACUCCGGUGGCAUGAGAUGGACCCGCGUCUGAUUAGCUAGUUGGUGGGGUAACGGCCUACCAAGGCGACGAUCAGUAGCCGGCCUGAGAGGGUGAACGGCCACAUUGGGACUGAGACACGGCCCAAACUCCUACGGGAGGCAGCAUG